AAAAUUAAAGGUCUAAUCUGCCCAAUGAUAUUUGAAUGGCCGCGGUAACUUGACCGUGCAAAGGUAGCAUAAUAAUUAGUCUUUUAAUUGAAGGCUUGAAUGAAAGAUUGGAUGAAAAAUAAACUUUAUUAAUAUAAAUUAUUUAAUUUAUUAUUUAAGUAAAAAUUCUUAAAUGUGUAAGUGGGACGAGAAGACCCUAUAGAGUUUUAUUUUUAUUUCUAUUAUUAAAUUAAAGAAUUAAUAUUUUUAUAAUAUAAAUGAAUUUUUUAUUGGGGUGAUAUUAAAAAUUUAUGAACUUUUAAUAAAUAUUUCAUUAAUAUAUGUAUAUUUGAUCCAAAAAAAAUUUUGAUUAUAAGAUUUAAUUACCUUAGGGAUAACAGCGUUAUUAAUUUGAAGAGUUCAAAUCGAUAAAUUAGUUUGCGACCUCGAUGUUGGAUUAAGAAUAAAUUUUGAAGUAGCAUUUAAAAUUAUAGGUCUGUUCGACCUUUAAAUUCUUACG
rnacentral:rRNA from 1 species